rnacentral:rRNA from 1 species
UACAGAGACUGCAAGCGUUAUUCGGAUUCACUGGGCGUAAAGGGUGCGCAGGCGGCCAAGUGUGUUAGGCGUGAAAGCCCGGGGCUUAACCCCGGAAUUGCACCUAAAACUACAUGGCUAGAGCAUUGGAGAGGGUAGCGGAAUUCACGGUGUAGCAGUGAAAUGCGUAGAUAUCAGGAGGAACACCGAUGGCGAAGGCAGGUCUCUGGGCUGACACUGACGCUCAUGCACGAAAGCGUGGGGAGCAAACAGGAUUGAGAUA